rnacentral:rRNA from 1 species
CAAUAGCGUAUAUUAAAGUUGUUGCAGUUAAAAGCUCGUAGUUGGAUUUCUGGCAGGAGGAGCCGGUCACACACUCUGUGCGUGAACUCGUGCUGUCUCUGGCCAUCCUCGGGGAGAUCCUGUUUGGCAUUAAGUUGUCGGGCAGGGAUACCCGUCGUUUACUGUGAAAAAUUAGAGUGUUUAAAGCAGGCUUAUGCCGUUGAAUAUAUUAGCAUGGAAUAAUAAGAUAGGACUUCGGAACUAUUUUGUUGGUUUGCGUUACGAAGUAAUGAUUAAUAGGGACAGUUGGGGUGAUUCGUUAUUUCCAUUUGUCAGAGGUAGGAAAUUUCAUUGGAUUUUGUCCGAAAAGACGAACUACUGCGAAAGCAUUUACCAAGGAUGUUUUCAUUAAUCAAGAACGAAAGUUAGGGGAUCGAAGAUGAUUAGAUACCA